CUGAUCCGCUUAGCGGGUCGGGCCCCUGCGUGGUUCCCGGGGCCGUUCGGGAGCCGUGCGGCCCCGGCAGGCGU
rnacentral:tRNA from 1 species